rnacentral:rRNA from 1 species
UUAAGCAUAUCAAUAAGCGGAGKAAAAGAAACUAACAAGGAUUCCCCUAGUAACUGCGAGUGAAGAGGGAAGAGCUCAAAUUUGUAAUCUGGCAGUCAUAUGGCUGUCCGAGUUGUAWGUUAAAGAAGUGACAUCCGUGCUGGCCUGCACAAAAGUCCCUUGGAAAAGGGCAUCAUAGAGGGUGACAAUCCCGUCUUUGGUGCAGACCACCAGUGCAUUUGUGAUGCGCUCUCAAUGAGUCGAGUUGUUUGGGAAUGCAGCUCCAAAUGGGUGGUAAAUUCCAUCUAAAGCUAAAUAUGGGCGAGAAACCGAUAGCGCWCAAGUACCGUGAGGGAAAGAUGAAAAGGACUUUGAAAAGAGAGUUAAACAUUACRUGAAAUUGUUGAAAGGGAAACGCUUGAAGUCAGUCAUAUCCCUCAGAAAUCAACUCACCCAUUGGGUCAGGUGCAUUUUCUGUGUUGGAUGGGUCAGCAUCAAUUUUGACCAUUGGAUAAAGGGCUUGGGAAUGUGGCAUCUCCUGAUGUGUUAUAGACCAUGUCUGCAUACAAUGGUUGGGAUUGAGGAACUCACUGUGACCUUUUGGUUUGGGGGUUUUAACCUCACACUACACACUUAGGAUGCUGGCAUAAUGGCUUUAAUCGACCCGUCUUGAAACACGGACCAAGGAGUCUAACAUGCAUGCAAGUG